AUCAUGAAGCAAAUGAUGAUAAAUUGGAUCUGACUCACUGUGUUGAGUUUUGUUCAAUCCAACCCUGAGCUUCAUGUU
ensembl:snoRNA small nucleolar RNA, C/D box 69